rnacentral:lncRNA from 1 species
CUGGUUCUGACAUUCUCUAUGCCUCUUUUGGCUUAUUGGACACUUGCUUGCGGAGCACGCAUUCCUUUCCGAUCCUUAGAUUGACUCUCUCAAUGAACCUCGCACCUGCUAAUUAUGAGUGGAGAUCUCUUGUAGGGCUUGUAAUCCCUUUCGCGGACAUAGCUCACGACCUCGCCCCUGCGAGGCUUACGCAAGCUCUCAUUACGAGCUUCUAGUGCGAGCUAUCUUUGCGAACAUCUAGCAUUCCCACGAAGUCCUCAGCUGACUAUGCUUGUAGACAAACA